UAUAUGUACUAAAGGCAGGUAGAGUAAAGUUUGAGUUUUAUUUUUGAAUCUAUAAUAAGUAGUUUAUAAUAAUGUAAUGAUGAACCAGAACAAUUUGUUAAUUUGAAACUACAAUUACAAGUUUUUAUAAUUAUGUUAGGCAUUAGGCAGACUAAUGAAGAGUAUGUUACUUUACUUUGUACGAAAAUCUGUUCUUUGACAUGAUUAUAGAAUAAGAUGAUAAGUGAUGAUGCAAUCUAAGAUGGAAGCGAGAUAACUAGUUAGGCAAAGGAUGAAAAUCCACACGCAUUUCUGUUUCUACAUAGUAUCUCACCGGAACACUAAAUCGCUUGCCAGUAGGGUAUUAACUAGCCAGCCAGACAUAGACCAGAAAGAAAACCUCAAUCGGCCCAGCCGGGGAUACCCUGGACUUUUGCGUAGUUAAUCCACUGUGCUAUGGAGGCCAUUUCGGCAAUAUUUUUCUUGCCUUGAUCUAUAAAAGCUUUUGCCAAUAAUAAGCUACAUUUUUCAUUGAAGGUUGUUUGAAAGAAAUAGCUUUUAGCUAUAAGACCUAAGCUUUGCACAUUUUACUUUUUUUUUUCUUUUUGACAAUGUAGCUUCUGUGAACAGUUGAGGAAUUCCCUCAUCUGUGUUUCUGUUCUAUCAUCAGAUUGCCUCCGGACAUUUUAGUUAUAUUUCUCACUUGGUUCUUGUCAAGGUUUUGUAAUAAAUAAUAAGGGAGAACAACACAAGUAGGGGAGUUUAAUCAAUUGUCAAGGAAUUCCUUAACCCUACAUCCUGUAGCCACAACUCCAGGACUCUGCUCGGAGUAUUUCUCUCUACCAGGCGAUGGACCUGGCACCUGCACGGAAUGCUAAGAUAUUCAUCUGUCUCUUCAUGCGUAGUAUGUUUAUGUAUUUUUAAUUAAAUUUACUCACUCUCUUUAUUUCAGUAAUGUCCAGAUAAUCAAUGAUUAGACCAUUGGACUUUUAGAAUAAAUUUUACAUUGAACUAUGAAUGGUUUGUCAUCUACAUUUUUAAAAAAGACGAGAUGUUUUGCCUGUGAGAAGAAGAGAGAGAGAGAAUAAGAAGCAAUCCUGCUUCUUCACAUGAAUUUUACCCGCAUGACGACGGUUUUUAAUAUAAAAAAAAAAAUUUACAAUGUCUCAAAAAGCAAUCAAAGCUUUGAAAAAUAAACAAUGUUCGCAGAAGUUCAAUACCAACAAACUCACAAAAAAUGAGCCCAAAUUUAGCAUUACUUGCAAGCCAGACUAAGAAAUUUCAAGAAGAUAAUUUAAAAGAAGACAAUAGAAUAAAAUAAUAUUAACACACAAUGCUUAGCAAAUAUAGCAUUAACAGAUGAAAACCAGGCAAUAGGUGUAGCAAAAUAGAAGAUGAAGGUCUAGCUGUGCCAGUGCUGAGCCACGCAGUUGCUACUGGCAUGUUUACAAAAUAGCACAAGGUGUGGCAAAAUAGAAGAUGAAGGUCUAGCUGUGCCAGUGCUGAGCCACACAGUUGCUACUGGCAUGUUUGCAAAAUAGCACAAGGUGUAGCAAAAUAGUAGAUGAAGGUCUAGCUGUGCCAGUGCUGAGCCACGCAGUUGCUACUGGCAUGUUUGCAAAAUAGCACAAGGUGCUGUAAAAUGAAGAUAUAUUGUUAAAUAUCAUGAGAUAGAAAUAAAAGAUGAAGAUCUAGCUGUACCCAUCCCGAGCCACACUACUGCAGCCACGUUGCUGCUGGCAAUUUUGCAAAAUAGCACAAGGUCACAACAAUUGAUGUAACAAAUAUAAUCAAUGGACCAGGCACCUGCACCAUGAUUCUUUGGAAUACUAAAAUUCGUCUCUUUAUGUCUGUACAUAAUUCUCAUAAUGAAAAAUGUCACGUUUUUAUGAAAGAAAUAAUGGAAUCAAAUAAUAAAUAAAACAAGCAUAUGCUGGAAGUCCUCAGAAACAGCUCCGACUUUGAUGUUUUUUUUUAAAGUCAUGUAGUUUAUGUUAUUUAAAAUCAGAAAUGUUUUGGUGGACGAAAUUAUUUAAAUUGUUAAAAAAUAUCUAUGCUAUUUAUACAUAUUUUUUUUAAAUACAACCGACUUCAAAAAUACAAACUUAUGCAGAAAACUAACAAACGAAAGAAAAUAUUAUAAUAUUCACUUUGAAGAUCACUUUGAAGACGGUGCUAAUGGUCCAAUUAAUGGGUCGACAAUUAGUUAUCUAUUGUUUUCCUAGCUAUAGGGUUCGAAUUGCUUUUUCAUAUCUUUAAAAGACUAUCUUCGGAAUGAACCCUUUAUAAUAAAAAAGUAUUAUCAAAAUCGGACCACUCAAUAAAAAGUUAUACUUGGUUGUAUACUAAAAUUAAUGGUUAAACAAUCAAUUAUCCCCUGUUUUCGUAAUGUAAAACCAAGCAUAACUGUUAACACGAGUAGUUCGAUUUUGAUAAUUGUUUUGAUUGAUCAUUCUUGAUUGUUUUAGUUUAAAACCAAGCAUGUCUUCGAAUUCCGAUUUGAAUAACUUUGUUUUAAAUAGAAAGGGUAUAUUCCGACAAUGGUCCCAAAUCAUUAUAAAUUUAAAAAAACGAAGAUGACUGGUUAUUUUCCCAUUAAUUGUAUUGUAAAACUAUGCGUAACUUAUUACGAAGUGGUCCGAUUUCGUAAAUUCUUUAUAGAUUGUAAAGGUAUUUUGAUUGUAAAGCUCCCAUAUAAAUUCUAAAAAACAAUUCCAAUCCUAAAUGUGCGAUUGAUUGUUUUCUCAUUCAUUUUAAUGUAAAACCAAGCAUAACUUUUUAUUGGGUGGUUCGAUUUUGAUUAUUCAUUUUUUGAUAGAAAGGGUAUAUUCCUAAAAGUCUCAUAAAAUGUUGGAAAACAAUUUCAAACCUAAUAGUAGGAAAAUAGAAGAUGAUUAAUUGUUUUCCCAUUUAUUGUAAUGUUAAACUUAACUUUUUACUGAGUGGACCGAUUUUGAAAAUUCUUUACUUUUUGUAAAGGGUUUAUUUCGAAGUAGGUCCCAUAUAAAUUUCGGAAAACAAUUCGAAUCCUUAAGAUGGAAAAAAACGGUACGAUUGAUUGCCUACCCAUUAAUUGUACAAUUGGCACCGGCUUCAAAGUAAUCAGUAGAUAGAAAAUAUUAUAAUGUUUUCUUCAGCUUAUUAGUUUACUGCAUAACUUUGUGUUUUUGAAGUCGGUAGUGUUUGUUUUUUAAUUAUUAUAUAAAUAGCAUAACUAUUGUUAAAUAGUAUAAAUCGUUCCAUCCUCAGUCCAAAAGGUUUCUGAUUUCAAAUAAUAUAAAGAAACAAACUGAACAAAAAUAAUCAUCAAAAUCAGAGCUGUUUCUGAGGAGGUAGAGGGUAAAUGCUCUAUUGAUUCGCCUAAAAGUAAUAUUAUGUUAUCGCAUUAGGUUGUAAAGUUUAGCUAAUGAAAGUAGAGAUUGAUAUUGCCCGCCAAAUUUAAAAAUCAUAUAAAUAAAUUAAAAAAACAUGCGUUUUCAUAAUUUAUUUAAAUUAGUUUUUCUUUGUGAAUACAUUAUUACCUUUACUAUAAGUGUUAAGCUCAGUUAUUCCAAUAUUUGCACUAUAAUUUUGAGAAUUUACUCCGAUUUUUUAAAAUUUGGCGGGUGAUUUCAGUUUCUACUUUCAUUAGCCAAAUUCUAAUAAUUUUAUUGUUUAUGAAAUUUAUACUAAUUAGAAAGAGGAAGAAUUUGAUUAUUUGUUUGUUUGCAUUGAAUAGGCUCUGAAACUACUUUGCUGAUUAAAAAAUUUCUUACAGCAUUAUAAUCAUGGAUUAGGCCAUAAUUGUUAUCUCUGUAUUCCCACGGGAACGAGAACUACAUUGUUGAAACUGCGUGACGUUUGCAUAGUUUAUCAUAUGUACAAAUAUCUCGACAAUCUAUAUUUUUAUGUAUGAAUUGGUUAAGUUAUAAUUGACUUGAUUUUCCCAAAUAUCUCAGUGAAGUCACCCAAUUGAUGCAUAGAUAUAUUUUUAUUUUGGUUUUCAUUUUACUUUAAAGAUAAAAUUUAGUUUUAGAAGCAAAAUGAAUAUAUGUAGAUUAUAUUUUAGGUGCUGAUGUUUACUUAGUUAUUGAUUAAGUGCAUAAGAUUUUUUAUUUGACAAUAAAGACAUUUCAACUUGAAA